rnacentral:rRNA from 1 species
AACGAACGCUGGCGGCAUGCCUAACACAUGCAAGUCGAACGAAGGCUUCGGCCUUAGUGGCGCACGGGUGCGUAACGCGUGGGAAUCUGCCCUUAGGUUCGGAAUAACAGUUAGAAAUGACUGCUAAUACCGGAUGAUGACGUAAGUCCAAAGAUUUAUCGCCUGAGGAUGAGCCCGCGUAGGAUUAGCUAGUUGGUGUGGUAAAGGCGCACCAAGGCGACGAUCCUUAGCUGGUCUGAGAGGAUGAUCAGCCACACUGGGACUGAGACGCGGCCCAGGCUCCUACGGGAGGCAGCAGUGGGGAAUAUUGGACAAUGGGCGCAAGCCUGAUCCAGCAAUGCCGCGUGAGUGAUGAAGGCCUUAGGGUUGUAAAGCUCUUUUACCCGUGAUGAUAAUGACAGUAGCGGGAGAAUAAGCCCCGGCUAACUCCGUG